CCUACGGGUGGCAGCAGUCGAGAAUCAUUCACAAUGGGGGAAACCCUGAUGGUGCGACGCCGCGUGGGGGAAUGAAGGUCUUCGGAUUGUAAACCCCUGUCAUGUGGGAGCAAAUUAAAAAGAUAGUACCACAAGAGGAAGAGACGGCUAACUCUGUGCCAGCAGCCGCGGUAAUACAGAGGUCUCAAGCGUUGUUCGGAAUCACUGGGCGUAAGGCGUGCGUAGGCUGUUUCGUAAGUCGUGUGUGAAAGGCGCGGGCUCAACCCGCGGACGGCACAUGAUACUGCGAGACUAGAGUAAUGGAGGGGGAACCGGAAUUCUCGGUGGAGCAGUGAAAUGCGUAGAUAUCGAGAGGAACACUCGUGGCGAAGGCGGGUGCCUGGACAUUAACUGACGCUGAGGCACGAAGGCCAGGGGAGCGAAAGGGAUUAGAUACCCCUGUAGUC
rnacentral:rRNA from 1 species